rnacentral:rRNA from 1 species
CUUUCUUUGCUGGCGACCGGCGCACGGGUGAGUAACACGUAUCCAACCUGCCCUUUACUCGGGGAUAGCCUUUCGAAAGAAAGAUUAAUACCCGAUGGCAUAAUGAUUCCGCAUGGUUUCAUUAUUAAAGGAUUCCGGUAAAGGAUGGGGAUGCGUUCCAUUGGGUUGUUGGUGAGGUAACGGCCCACCAAGCCUUCGAUGGAUAGGGGUUCUGAGAGGAAGGUCCCCCACAUUGGAACUGAGACACGGUCCAA